AAUUUCCUUUCUGGGCAAAAUAGAACAAAAAAUGUAGCAGACAACAAUCUUGUGAAAAAAGUAAGCGUAGGUAUCACUAUUUCUUUGAGUCUCCUUUUCUCUGACUUUUCGUUUCAAAUUUAUUGGAAAAUCUGAGCGAUAGUUUGCAAUAAUUGUGAUUUUGUUGAGCUAUUAUCCCGCAAAAAGCAGCGAUUUAUUCAAGAUAAUUCCAGGUUUUUAGAACAGCACCUUUUAAGUUUUAGAGCUGGCUACAGUUGUUUAUUGGGGCAGUGUCUCAUCAGCGGCGCUACCAACAGCGGUGUUAUAAGCAAGUUCCAGAUUUUUGGAGUAGUGCACACCAGCAGCAUCAUCACCUUCUACAACUAGGGAUUUUUCAAUUGCGUUUCAGGUAAGAAUUUAGCAAUUGCCAAUGAAUCAAAUUGGUAACUUAUUUUUUUAUUUG